UGGGUGAAAAUGUGGAUGAAGAGAAACUGAAACCUUUGUUAGGGAAAAAGAAGAAACCAAAGAAGGAGAAAGAUCUUAAGAAGCUGGCAGAGGAAGUCGCUGAAGAAGCAUUCAAUGAUCAAUGCUUUGCUGCAGAAUGUAAAGAUUGUGCUGCCAAUCCUGACGAUUCCACGACUUGUGAUCUUGGUGAGAUCAUUGAUCUGGUGUUUGCAAUCGAGGA